rnacentral:lncRNA from 1 species
GGGCAACUUGGCUCCAUUGGCAUCCACAGCAAGGUUCUUACUGACUUCAAAAAACCCCAAAGUUUCAGCCCCACAGGUUGCCUGACUGAUGGAAAUUUAAUGCCGGAGAAAAAGUAGACAGAACGUCUCCAUUGCAGAGGAAAUUAUCACCCAUAUACGUUAACCUGUAUACUAUCCAAGCAAGCAGAGGUGCACUAUGGUUAAAACCAGACUAGGCCUACAAAUGAUUUUGCAGGGAUUCUCAGCCAGAAGCUGAUUAUAUAGACCCAUACUGGAGGUCUAAAGAGGCAUUUCUUGGCAUUUCGUAGGCCUUCCAGAGUGAUUCUGUGGUAUAUUUCAGCUGAAAUUCCAACAUUGUUCAUUUCAGGUCCAGCCAUGAAAAUGAAAUUUGAGUUU